UACGUAGGGGGGCGAGCGUUUGUCCGGAUUCAUUGGGCGUAAAGCGCGGGCAGGCGGCCCGCUCAGUCGGCCGUGAAAAGCGCCGGGCUCAACUCGGCGAGGUCGGGGCGAUACUGGCGGGCUAGAGGCUGGUAGAGGGCGGUGGAAUUCCGGGUGUAGUGGUGGAAUGCGUAGAGCUCCGGAGGAACACCAGUGGCGAAG
rnacentral:rRNA from 1 species